GCGGACAUGGCGGAACUGGCAGACGCGCGCGGUUCAGGACCGCGUGGUUCAUUCCAUAGGGGUUCGAAUCCCCUUGUCCGCA
rnacentral:tRNA from 1 species